AGCGAACGCUGGCGGCAGGCUUAACACAUGCAAGUCGAGCGGGCACAUUCUGGUGUCAGCGGCGGACGGGUGGGUAACGCGGGGGAACGUGCCCUCUGGUUCGGAAUAACUCAUGGAAACUUGAGCUAAUACCGGAUACUCCCUUUUUGGCAAAGGCUUGCUGCCGGAGGAUCGGCGCGCGUCUGAUUAGUUAGUUGGUUGGGUAACGGGGCACCAAGGCGACGAUUAGUAGCUGGUCUGAGAGGACGAUCCGACACACUGGGACUGGGACACGGCCCAGACUACUGCGGGAUGCAGCAGUGGGGAAUAUUGGACAAUGGGCGCAGGCCUGAUCCAGCCAUGCCGCGUGAGUGAUGAAGGCCUUAGGGUUGUAAAGCUCUUUUAUCCGGGACGAUAAUGACGGUACCGGAGGAAUAAGCCCCGGCUAACUUCGUG
rnacentral:rRNA from 1 species